UACGUAGGGUGCGAGCGUUGUCCGGAAUUAUUGGGCGUAAAGGGCGCGCAGGCGGCCUGGCAAGUCGAGUGUGAAAUCCCUCGGCUUAACUGAGGAAUGGCGCUCGAAACUACCUCGCUGGAGGGCGGGAGAGGGAAGUGGAACUCUCGGUGUAGGGGUGAAAUCUGUAGAUAUCGAGAGGAACACCGGGUGGCCGAAGGCGGCUUCCUGGCCCGUACCUGACGCUGAGGCGCGAAAGCGUGGGGAGCAAACAGG
rnacentral:rRNA from 1 species